GGAGAGGUAGCGUAGCCUGGCCUAACGCGCGCGCCUGGAGAGCGCGUGUACCGAUGAGGUACCGCGGGUUCGAAUCCCGCCCUCUCCG
rnacentral:tRNA from 1 species